GUAGCAAUACGUGGCGCACGGCUCAGUAACACGUAGUCAACAUGCCCAGAGGACGUGGAUAACCUCGGGAAACUGAGUCUAAACCGCGAUAAGUGAGGAUUUCUGGAAUGGUUCCUGACUAAAAUCUAUAUGGCCUCUGGAUUGGACUGCGGCCGAUCAGGCUGUUGGUGAGGUAAUGGCCCACCAAACCUGUAACCGGUACGGGCUCUGAGAGGAGGAGCCCGGAGAUGGGCACUGAGACAAGGGCCCAGGCCCUAUGGGGCGCAGCAGGCGCGAAACCUCUGCAAUAGGCGAAAGCCUGACAGGGUUACUCUGAGUGACUUUCGCUAAGAAAGUCUUUUGGCACCUCUAAAAAGGGUGCAGAAUAAGGGGUGGGCAAGUCUGGUGUCAGCCGCCGCGGUAAUACCAGCACCCCGAGUGGUCGGGACGAUUAUUGGGCCUAAAGCAUCCGUAGCCGGUUCUGCAAGUCCCCCGUUAAAUCCAGCUGCUCAACAGAUGGGCCGCGGAGGAUACUACAGAGCUAGGAGGCAGGAGAGGCAAGCGGUACUCAGUGGGUAGGGGUAAAAUCCGUUGAUCCAUUGAAGACCACCAGUGGCGAAGGCGGCUUGCCAGAAUGCGCUCGACGGUGAGGGAUGAAAGCUGGGGGAGCAAACCGGAUUAGAUACCCGGGUAGUCCCAGCUGUAAACGAUGCA
rnacentral:rRNA from 1 species